GACGAACCGUGCGAACGUUAUUCGGAAUCACUGGGCUUAAAGCGCGUGUAGGCGGAUGGGGACGUCGGUUGCUGAAAUCCCCCGGCUCAACCGGGGAACGGGCACCGAAACGCCCCGUCUUGAGGGACGUAGGGGGACCUGGAACUUCCGGUGGAGCGGUGAAAUGCGUUGAGAUCGGAAGGAACGCCCGUGGCGAAAGCGACCUGCUGGACCUCUUCUGACGCUGAGGCGCGAAAGCUAGGGGAGCAAACGGG
rnacentral:rRNA from 1 species